UACGUAGGGGGCAAGCGUUGUCCGGAAUCAUUGGGCGUAAAGAGCGUGUAGGCGGCCAGAAAAGUCCGCUGUGAAAACUCGAGGCUCAACUUCGAGCUGUCGGUGGAAACUUUCUGGCUAGAGUCCGGAAGAGGAGAAUGGAAUUCCUGGUGUAGCGGUGAAAUGCGCAGAUAUCAGGAAGAACACCCGUGGCGAAGGCGGUGCUCUGGGACGGUACUGACGCUGAGACGCGAAAGCGUGGGGAGCGAACAGG
rnacentral:rRNA from 1 species